AUGGGCGCAAGCCUGAUGCAGCGACGCCGCGUGCGGGAUGGAGGCCUUCGGGUUGUAAACCGCUUUUAUAGGGGGGCAAGCUAUGCCUGUGUGGUGUGGUGAGUGGACUUUAUGAAUAAGCACCGGCUAACUACGUGCCAGCAGCCGCGGUAAUACGUAGGGUGCAAGCGUUGUCCGGAUUUAUUGGGCGUAAAGGGCUCGUAGGCGGUUUGUUGCGUCUGGUGUGAAAGCUUACUGCUUAACGGUAGGUUGCGCUGGAUACGGGCAGGCUUGAGUGCAGUAGGGGAGACUGGAAUUCUCGGUGUAACGGUGGAAUGUGUAGAUAUCGGGAAGAACACCUAUGGCGAAGGCAGGUCUCUGGGCUGUUACUGACGCUGAGGAGCGAAAGUGUGGGGAGCGAACAGGAUUAGAUACCCUGGUAGUCCAUGCUGUAAACGGUGGACGCUGGAUGUGGGGCCCAUUUCCACGGGUUCUGUGUCGGAGCUAACGCGUUAAGCGUCCCGCCUGGGGAGUACGGCCGCAAGGUUAAAACUCAAAGAAAUUGACGGGGGCCCGCACAAGCGGCGGAGCACGCGGAUUAAUUCGAUGCAACGCGAAGAACCUUACCAGGGCUUGACAUAACCUGGAUGAUGCCAGAGAUGGUGUGUCCCUUCGGG
rnacentral:rRNA from 1 species